GUGGGGAAUUUUGGACAAUGGGGGCAACCCUGAUCCAGCCAUGCCGCGUGAGUGAAGAAGGCCUUCGGGUUGUAAAGCUCUUUCGGCCGGGACGAAAUCGCACUCUCUAAUACGGGGUGUGGAUGACGGUACCGGAAUAAGAAGCACCGGCUAACUACGUGCCAGCAGCCGCGGUAAUACGUAGGGUGCGAGCGUUAAUCGGAAUUACUGGGCGUAAAGCGUGCGCAGGCGGUUGUACAAGACAGGCGUGAAAUCCCCGGGCUUAACCUGGGAACUGCGCUUGUGACUGUACGACUAGAGUACGGCAGAGGGGGGUGGAAUUCCACGUGUAGCAGUGAAAUGCGUAGAGAUGUGGAGGAACACCGAUGGCGAAGGCAGCCCCCUGGGCCGAUACUGACGCUCAUGCACGAAAGCGUGGGGAGCAAACAGGAUUAGAUACCCGUGUAGUCC
rnacentral:rRNA from 1 species